rnacentral:rRNA from 1 species
AUUGAACGCUGGCGGCAUGCCUUACACAUGCAAGUCGAACGGCAGCACGGGUGUUUGCACCUGGUGGCGAGUGGCGAACGGGUGAGUAAUACAUCGGAACAUGUCCUGGAGUGGGGGAUAGCCCGGCGAAAGCCGGAUUAAUACCGCAUACGAUCUACGGAUGAAAGCGGGGGACCUUCGGGCCUCGCGCUAUAGGGUUGGCCGAUGGCUGAUUAGCUAGUUGGUGGGGUAAAGGCCUACCAAGGCGACGAUCAGUAGCUGGUCUGAGAGGACGACCAGCCACACUGGGACUGAGACACGGCCCAGACUCCUACGGGAGGCAGCAGUGGGGAAUUUUGGACAAUGGGCGAAAGCCUGAUCCAGCAAUGCCGCGUGUGUGAAGAAGGCCUUCGGGUUGUAAAGCACUUUUGUCCGGAAAGAAAUCCUUGGCCCUAAUACGGUCGGGGGAUGACGGUACCGGAAGAAUAAGCACCGGCUAACUACGUG